UGCAUGUUUGCGUUCUCGGGAACCUCCGCCAUGACACGUCGCCUAGUAACCACAGCUCCACACACUGCUUGGUUAGCGUGUACUCCCUGCACUGCCAACCCGCGCGAGCCGUAAACGGGUGUAUUCACGUUGAACACAGCACCCGUUGGCCUUGUAAAUCGGGUCCAGGUUGACAGGCAGGAAGACGCUAUUUACGAUACCUUACCCGGAUAAUGUUCCCCUGUCGACCCACCGAUAAGGAAGUGUAAGAGGGUGUUUCAUCUAGACGCAGGACAUAGUCACAGCACUGACGUCCCGGUGGAUGAAUGACGACCGCUAGAGACAUAUGACUACGGGACUAGAACAGGCAGCAGCUGGACGCCAUCGACCAUCACCGGUGGGCCAACUAGAUGCGACGUUGUGCUCAGACGCCAUGGCGGAUCAUUACAUGUGACGACUCCAGAACAUCUGUGGCUCUGUCGGUGACUUUCCUUACAUCAGACCCUCACACCAGGCAGACCUAGCAGGCAAACAAACAGGGCUCACCUCACACCAGAACGUCUCACCAGCCACAUCUGACAGGCCACUGCACAGGGCUCACCUCACACCAGAACGUCUCACCAGCUACAUCUGACAGGCCACUGCACAGGGCUCACCUCACACCAGAACGUCUCACCAGCUACAUCUGACAGGCCACUACACAGGGCUCACCUCACACCAGAACGAACGUCUCACCAGCUACAUCUGACAGGCCACUACACAGGGCUCACCUCACACCAGAACGUCUCACCAGCUACAUCUGACAGGCCACUACACAGGGCUCACCUCACACCAGAACGUCUCACCAGCUACAUCUGACAGGCCACUACACAGGGCUCACCUCACACCAGAACGUCUCACCAGCUACAUCUGACAGGCCACUACACCGGAAGGGGCAUGUCCGAGUGAAGUUCAGAGUUGUUUAAACUCUGUCGAAUGAAGUCGCCUACAGAGAGGAAGCGGAGAGGUAUGGAUAGAUCCAACAUGGCGGAUGGUGAAACUGAGAGUAACCAUGGUGACGAUGUUUCGAGUAUGCAGAUACAAGGACUCAGGAGUUUGUUUCUGCUGUUGGUUUUAGCAGUUACAAUUCUCGUUGUGUUCUCGUCCCUUGCGGUGCUAAGAAAGCCAAAGCUCAGUCCCAAUGUCAAUGUGUUUGUGGGCGUGGCAACAGGCAAUGACGUUGACGACUCUGCUAGAUUAAAACGUGGUGUUGAAAUCCCUCUUGUACAUACACCUGCCCGAAGGAAAAACUAUCGAAUACUGUCUCCCAGUCUAAAGGUCAUAAAGAGCAGCGAAUGCACAAACUCAGCCAUGGGCACAACAAAAAUGUAACAAAAUCUGUCAAAAGAAAUGGUACCGAGGGCAGGAACAUUACGCACGACCAGGUUGGUAUAAAACACGGACUUAUAGUCAACCAAACUCACAAACAAUCUGAAACUGGUACUCCUCACGACAGAGAGAAGGACAAGCACAACACGAAGCGGGCAGGCCCGGCCACAAAACAGGAAGUGACGUCGUCGGGAAACCCCACACCCAGCAAAUACAGCUCACGACAUACUUUGAGAGCGCGGGGUGGAAUCCAUUGACGUGACGCUGGUUCACCCAGUGGGUGCAGUGAAUUCACCAUCCACCUUGCCUCACCCUGGUGUUGAUAACUAGAACUGGGGUAUCUGUUUAUUUCCUCGACGUAAUCAACCACGUGAUCCCUUCCCGGAAAUACACGUCAUGACCAUCAGCCCGUAUCCCUGACAUAUUAUUUUGUGUGUGGUCGGAUUUCACUGCAUUAUCGGCAGAACAUAUCGGCGCCACCUGGUAAAACUUUCACCUAGAUUUCCACACGAUCAAAGUCAGCUGAAAUCCUGGUGUGACGUAGAUGCACACCACUUGAUGGGGCGAACCGGUGAUAUUGAUAUCUUACUCAUCUCAAGGAGUUUAAACAACAAAGGUUGGGCGAUGGAGUAGCCUAUUGGUUGAAGUCAUCGCUCACCACUCCGAAAACCCAGGUUCGAAUCCCCG